rnacentral:rRNA from 1 species
GGUUAAGCGACUAAGCGUACACGGUGGAUGCCCUGGCAGUCAGAGGCGAUGAAGGACGUGCUAAUCUGCGAUAAGCGUCGGUAAGGUGAUAUGAACCGUUAUAACCGGCGAUUUCCGAAUGGGGAAACCCAGUGUGAUUCGUCACACUAUCAUUACGUGAAUACAUAGCGUAAUGAAGCGAACCGGGGGAACUGAAACAUCUAAGUACCCCGAGGAAAAGAAAUCAACCGAGAUUCCCCCAGUAGCGGCGAGCGAACGGGGAGCAGCCCAGAGUCUGAAUCAGCUUGUGUGUUAGUGGAACGGUCUGGAAAGUCCGACGGUACAGGGUGAUAGUCCCGUACACCAAAAUGCACAGGUUGUGAACUCGAAGAGUAGGGCGGGACACGUGGUAUCCUGUCUGAAUAUGGGGGGACCAUCCUCCAAGGCUAAAUACUCCUGACUGACCGAUAGUGAACCAGUACCGUGAGGGAAAGGCGAAAAGAACCCCGGCGAGGGGAGUGAAAAAGAACCUGAAACCGUGUACGUACAAGCAGUGGGAGCAUCCUUUUGGGUGUGACUGCGUACCUUUUGUAUAAUGGGUCAGCGACUUAUAUUCUGUAGCAAGGUUAACCGUAUAGGGGAGCCGAAGGGAAACCGAGUCUUAACUGGGCGUUAAGUUGCAGGGUAUAGACCCGAAACCCGGUGAUCUAGCCAUGGGCAGGUUGAAGGUUGGGUAACACUAACUGGAGGACCGAACCGACUAAUGUUGAAAAAUUAGCGGAUGACUUGUGGCUGGGGGUGAAAGGCCAAUCAAACCGGGAGAUAGCUGGUUCUCCCCGAAAGCUAUUUAGGUAGCGCCUCGUGAACUCAUCUUCGGGGGUAGAGCACUGUUUCGGCUAGGGGGUCAUCCCGACUUACCAACCCGAUGCAAACUGCGAAUACCGAAGAAUGUUAUCACGGGAGACACACGGCGGGUGCUAACGUCCGUCGUGAAGAGGGAAACAACCCAGACCGCCAGCUAAGGUCCCAAAGUCAUGGUUAAGUGGGAAACGAUGUGGGAAGGCACAGACAGCCAGGAUGUUGGCUUAGAAGCAGCCAUCAUUUAAAGAAAGCGUAAUAGCUCACUGGUCGAGUCGGCCUGCGCGGAAGAUGUAACGGGGCUAAACCAUGCACCGAAGCUGCGGCAGCGACACUAUGUGUUGUUGGGUAGGGGAGCGUUCUGUAAGCCGUUGAAGGUGUAUCGUGAGGUAUGCUGGAGGUAUCAGAAGUGCGAAUGCUGACAUAAGUAACGAUAAUGCGGGUGAAAAACCCGCACGCCGGAAGACCAAGGGUUCCUGUCCAACGUUAAUCGGGGCAGGGUGAGUCGACCCCUAAGGCGAGGCCGAAAGGCGUAGUCGAUGGGAAACAGGUUAAUAUUCCUGUACUUGGUGUUACUGCGAAGGGGGGACGGAGAAGGCUAUGUUAGCCGGGCGACGGUUGUCCCGGUUUAAGCAUGUAGGCGGAGGUUCCAGGUAAAUCCGGUACCUUUUUAACGCUGAGGUGUGAUGACGAGGCACUACGGUGCUGAAGUAACAAAUGCCCUGCUUCCAGGAAAAGCCUCUAAGCAUCAGGUAACACGAAAUCGUACCCCAAACCGACACAGGUGGUCAGGUAGAGAAUACCAAGGCGCUUGAGAGAACUCGGGUGAAGGAACUAGGCAAAAUGGUGCCGUAACUUCGGGAGAAGGCACGCUGAUAUGUAGGUGAAGUGAUUUACUCAUGGAGCUGAAAUCAGUCGAAGAUACCAGCUGGCUGCAACUGUUUAUUAAAAACACAGCACUGUGCAAACACGAAAGUGGACGUAUACGGUGUGACGCCUGCCCGGUGCCGGAAGGUUAAUUGAUGGGGUUAUCCGUAAGGAGAAGCUCUUGAUCGAAGCCCCGGUAAACGGCGGCCGUAACUAUAACGGUCCUAAGGUAGCGAAAUUCCUUGUCGGGUAAGUUCCGACCUGCACGAAUGGCGUAAUGAUGGCCAGGCUGUCUCCACCCGAGACUCAGUGAAAUUGAACUCGCUGUGAAGAUGCAGUGUACCCGCGGCAAGACGGAAAGACCCCGUGAACCUUUACUAUAGCUUGACACUGAACACUGGUCCUUGAUGUGUAGGAUAGGUGGGAGGCUUUGAAGUGUGGACGCCAGUCUGCAUGGAGCCAUCCUUGAAAUACCACCCUUUAAUGGCUGGUGUUCUAACGUGGACCCGUUACCCGGGUUGCGGACAGUGUCUGGUGGGUAGUUUGACUGGGGCGGUCUCCUCCUAAAGAGUAACGGAGGAGCACGAAGGUUAGCUAAUCCUGGUCGGACAUCAGGAGGUUAGUGCAAAGGCAUAAGCUAGCUUGACUGCGAGAGUGACGGCUCGAGCAGGUGCGAAAGCAGGUCUUAGUGAUCCGGUGGUUCUGAAUGGAAGGGCCAUCGCUCAACGGAUAAAAGGUACUCCGGGGAUAACAGGCUGAUACCGCCCAAGAGUUCAUAUCGACGGCGGUGUUUGGCACCUCGAUGUCGGCUCAUCACAUCCUGGGGCUGAAGUAGGUCCCAAGGGUAUGGCUGUUCGCCAUUUAAAGUGGUACGCGAGCUGGGUUUAGAACGUCGUGAGACAGUUCGGUCCCUAUCUGCCGUGGGCGCUGGAGAAUUGAGGGGGGCUGCUCCUAGUACGAGAGGACCGGAGUGGACGCAUCACUGGUGUUCGGGUUGUCAUGCCAAUGGCAUUGCCCGGUAGCUAAAUGCGGAAGAGAUAAGUGCUGAAAGCAUCUAAGCACGAAACUUGCCCCGAGAUGAGUUCUCCCUGAGACUUUAAGUCUCCUGAAGGAACGUUAAAGACGAUGACGUUGAUAGGUCGGGUGUGUAAGUGUAGCGAUACAUUGAGCUAACCGAUACUAAUGAACCGUGAGGCUUAACCUU